UGGGGAAUAUUGGACAAUGGGCGCAAGCCUGAUCCAGCCAUGCCGCGUGAGUGACGAAGGCCUUAGGGUUGUAAAGCUCUUUUGGCGGGGAAGAUAAUGACGGUACCCGCAGAAUAAGCUCCGGCUAACUUCGUGCCAGCAGCCGCGGUAAUACGAAGGGAGCUAGCGUUGUUCGGAAUCACUGGGCGUAAAGCGCACGUAGGUGGGCAGUUAAGUCAGGGGUGAAAGCCCGAGGCUCAACCUCGGAAUUGCCUCUGAUACUGGCUGUCUAGAGUUCGAGAGAGGUGAGUGGAAUUCCUAGUGUAGAGGUGAAAUUCGUAGAUAUUAGGAAGAACACCGGUGGCGAAGGCGGCUCACUGGCUCGAUACUGACAUUGAGGUGCGAAAGCGUGGGGAGCAAACAGGAUUAGAUACCCAAGUAGUCCCUGAGCGGGCUGGCAAGGCGCAU
rnacentral:rRNA from 1 species